AAACUGUAGAAACGGGAUUCAAAAUCCGCCGUUGCAAGACGUGUCGGUUCGAGUCCGACCCCGGGCACCA
rnacentral:tRNA from 1 species